GGGAUUGCCUCAGUAACGGCGAGUGAAGCGGCAACAGCUCAAAUUUGAAAUCUGGCCCUUUCAGGGUCCGAGUUGUAAUUUGUAGAGGAUGUUUCGGCGAGGGCUCCCGUCUAAGUUCCCUGGAACGGGACGUCAUAGAGGGUGAGAAUCCCGUAUGUGAUGGGUUGCUCGAGCCAUGUGAAACUCCUUCGACGAGUCGAGUUGUUUGGGAAUGCAGCUCUAAAUGGGAGGUAAAUUUCUUCUAAAGCUAAAUACCGGCCAGAGACCGAUAGCGCACAAGUAGAGUGAUCGAAAGAUGAAAAGCACUUUGGAAAGAGAGUUAAAAAGUACGUGAAAUUGUUGAAAGGGAAGCGCUUGCAACCAGACUUGUCCGCAGUUGCUCAGCCGGUCUCCUGACCGGUGUACUCUUCUGCGGCCAGGCCAGCAUCAGUUCGGGCGGUUGGAUAAAGGCCCCGGGAAUGUGGCUCUCUUCGGGGAGUGUUAUAGCCCGGGGCGGAAUGCAGCCAGCCUGGACUGAGGAUCUCGCUUCGGCAAGGAUGCUGGCGUAAUGGUUGUAAGCGGCCCGUCUUGAAACACGGACCAAGGAGUCUAACAUCUAUGCGAGUGUUUGGGUGUCAAACCCAUACGCGUAAUGAAAGUGAACGGAGGUGGGAACCCGCAAGGGCGCACCAUCGACCGAUCCUGAUGUCUUCGGAUGGAUUUGAGUAAGAGCAUAGCUGUUGGGACCCGAAAGAUGGUGAACUAUGCCUGAAUAGGGUGAAGCCAGAGGAAACUCUGGUGGAGGCUCGCAGCGGUUCUGACGUGCAAAUCGAUCGUCAAAUUUGGGUAUAGGGGCGAAA
rnacentral:rRNA from 1 species